GGCGGCGUGCCUAACACAUGCAAGUCGAACGGUGAUGGUUUGAUAUUUUCGGAUGGAUUUCAUCAUAGUGGCGGACGGGUGAGUAACGCGUGGAUAACCUGCCUCGUACUGGGGAAUAGUAGCUGGAAACGGCUGGUAAUACCGCAUAAGCGCACGAUGCCGCAUGGCAUUGUGUGAAAAGAUUUAUCGGUACGAGAUGGAUCCGCGUCUGAUUAGCCAGUUGGCGGGGUAACGGCCCACCAAAGCGACGAUCAGUAGCCGGCCUGAGAGGUGAACGGCCACAUUGGGACUGAGACACGGCCCAGACUCCUACGGGAGGCAGCAGUGGGGAAUAUUGCACAAUGGGCGAAAGCCUGAUGCAGCGACGCCGCGUGAGUGAAGAAGUAUUUCGGUAUGUAAAGCUCUAUCAGCAGGGAAGAAAGGCCCGCAAGGGAGAUGACGGUACCUGACUAAGAAGCCCCGGCUAACUACGUGCCAGCCGCAGC
rnacentral:rRNA from 1 species